UGGGGAAUAUUGCACAAUGGGCGGAAGCCUGAUGCAGCAACGCCGCGUGCGGGAUGACGGCCUUCGGGUUGUAAACCGCUUUCGCCUGUGACGAAGCGUGAGUGACGGUAAUGGGUAAAGAAGCACCGGCUAACUACGUGCCAGCAGCCGCGGUGAUACGUAGGGUGCGAGCGUUGUCCGGAUUUAUUGGGCGUAAAGGGCUCGUAGGUGGUUGAUCGCGUCGGAAGUGUAAUCUUGGGGCUUAACCCUGAGCGUGCUUUCGAUACGGGUUGACUUGAGGAAGGUAGGGGAGAAUGGAAUUCCUGGUGGAGCGGUGGAAUGCGCAGAUAUCAGGAGGAACACCAGUGGCGAAGGCGGUUCUCUGGGCCUUUCCUGACGCUGAGGAGCUAAAGCGUGGGGAGCGAACAGGCUUAGAUACCCUGGUAGUCCACGCUGUAAACGGUGGGUACUAGGUGUGGGGUCCAUUCCACGGGUUCCGUGCCGUAGCUAACGCUUUAAGUACCCCGCCUGGGGAGUACGGCCGCAAGGCUAAAACUCAAAGGAAUUGACGGGGCCCCGCACAAGCGGCGGAGCAUGCGGAUUAACUCGAUGC
rnacentral:rRNA from 1 species